CUGCACACAAAGUGGGCUGGUGCUUGAGUGGAAAGCAUUCAGUUUGCAGAGAACAGUGUGGACACACACACACGCACACACAGAGAGAGAGAGAGAGAGAGAGAGGAGAGAGAGAGAGAGACGUGAGCAAGCUUGGGAUCCUGGAAACUGCAGAGUGUGAGACUGUGGGGCUCACAGUGGAAGAAGAGAUGUUACUAGAAAGGGGGCAUGAGAAGAAGAAACAGUAAAUUUGAAUGGUAUGCAAACACCUUUAAAAUAAAAACAAAAGAAAAAGAGAAAAAUAUCUGUGAGAAACAAAUGAUCGAGCUGUACUCAGAAGCCUUCAAAAAACCAAGCUGCCGUUCUGAGAGACCUGAAAAUAAUAUGUAAAGAGAGCUGAUCGGCAAAGAAAGCCUUGGUGGAUGCCUUGAGUUGUGCCUUAACUCCCCAGAGAUGGAACCCAGGGCCUUGGCGCUGAACUACAUCCUUUUAUUUUUCUUCAGACAAGGCCUUGCUAAGUCACCAAGUUACCCAGGCUGGACUCGAACUUGUGAUCCUCCUGUCUCGCCCUCCUUGAGUGCUGAGAUUAACAGUGGGUGCCACCACAUCCACUUUAGUAAUUCUCUUUUGCAGAGCAAGACACUUAACAAAGAUUCACAAGGCUGAAAAUUAUUUUCCUGGAGUCUGAUGUGAAUUUUCUUUUUCUAUUUUUUUCCUGCAGUGCUAGGUAAUCCAAACCUUGCCUUAUGCAUGCUGGGCAAGUGCAUUAACACUGUGCUACACCCCCAACCCUGCUACGAAUUCUUUAGACUUCACUCUCCUACUGAAGUGGGUUCAAAGCCAUGGCUGCUGCCUGGGGAAGACCUGACUCUGGGAACUUUUGUCUCGGUGGCUGGCAGCCACAGUUCACGAGCCAAGUCUGGAAUGGUUGCUUGAGUUCAUACUGCUACAGGGCCAAGGACGGUUGUUGCAUUUUGAAAAGAGCGAAAACACCAAGCCAACACUUCUCCACAAGGAGAAUGAAAUCGAGGGUCCGUGUCGGGGAGCUGGAAGGCAGCCGUAGCGCAGGUCACUGUCCAGUUGCACACAGCUGCUGCCCACUGCAGCAGCAGAGUGGAGCAGGUGUGGGACCUUGUGUCUCAGCAGUGAGAACGGUGACUAAGACAGUCCUCACCCAGUGACCAUGCCCUUGCCCAGGCCGUUCCCCAUUCUACAUCUCCAUCUGUCAGGCUCUUCACAUGUCUGGUGCUACAGUGGAAUACCACCUUUCGGAGAGCAAAGACCAUGCCUCUGACAUCGCACCUGCCCUACAGUGCUUAACCUAGGAGCUGUGCCCAGUGAGUGUGCAGAUCUGGGUGAUGUAUUCAGGUGCAGCUGUGUUCCCUCUCCUAUAACCACAGACCUGCUCUCACUGGGUUCUUGGACACUGCAGAAAGGUAGAGCACCCCAGGGAAAGAAAGAAGCCCUAAGUGCCUUCAUUCCUUAGGUGGAUUCAUUCAUCCAGCGCAUAUUAAACUUCUGCAGUGUUCCAGGUACUAUAUCAGGGCUUUGCAUUUAUUAUCUCUCUUAAUGUUUCCACCUUUCAGGUAAACUACAAUUAGCUUCUUUAGACAGAAGGGGAAAUCUGUGCUCAGGAGUUGGUGCAGUUUGC
rnacentral:lncRNA from 1 species